CGACAGGCUUAACACAUGCAAGUCGAGGGGCAGCAUGAUUUGUAGCAAUACAGAUUGAUGGCGACCGGCGCACGGGUGAGUAACGCGUAUGCAACUUACCUAUCAGAGGGGGAUAGCCCGGCGAAAGUCGGAUUAAUACCCCAUAAAACAGGGGUCCCGCAUGGGAAUAUUUGUUAAAGAUUCAUCGCUGAUAGAUAGGCAUGCGUUCCAUUAGGCAGUUGGCGGGGUAACGGCCCACCAAACCGACGAUGGAUAGGGGUUCUGAGAGGAAGGUCCCCCACAUUGGUACUGAGACACGGACCAAACUCCUACGGGAGGCAGCAGUGAGGAAUAUUGGUCAAUGGCCGAGAGGCUGAACCAGCCAAGUCGCGUGAAGGAAGAAGGAUCUAUGGUUUGUAAACUUCUUUUAUAGGGGAAUAAAGUGGAGGACGUGUCCUUUUUUGUAUGUACCCUAUGAAUAAGCAUCGGCUAACUCCGUGCCAGCAGCCGCGGUAAUACGGAGGAUGCGAGCGUUAUCCGGAUUUAUUGGGUUUAAAGGGUGCGUAGGUGGUGAUUUAAGUCAGCGGUGAAAGUUUGUGGCUCAACCAUAAAAUUGCCGUUGAAACUGGGUUACUUGAGUGUGUUUGAGGUAGGCGGAAUGCGUGGUGUAGCGGUGAAAUGCAUAGAUAUCACGCAGAACUCCGAUUGCGAAGGCAGCUUACUAAACCAUAACUGACACUGAAGCACGAAAGCGUGGGGAUCAAACAGGAUUAGAUACCCUGGUAGUCCACGCAGUAAACGAUGAUUACUAGGAGUUUGCGAUACAAUGUAAGCUCUACAGCGAAAGCGUUAAGUAAUCCACCUGGGGAGUACGCCGGCAACGGUGAAACUCAAAGGAAUUGACGGGGGCCCGCACAAGCGGAGGAACAUGUGGUUUAAUUCGAUGAUACGCGAGGAACCUUACCCGGGUUUGAACGUAGUCUGACCGGAGUGGAAACACUCUUUCUAGCAAUAGCAGAUUACGAGGUGCUGCAUGGUUGUCGGCAGCUCGUGCCGUGAGGUGUCGGCUUAAGUGCCAUAACGAGCGCAACCCUUAUCACUAGUUACUAACAGGUGAAGCUGAGGACUCUGGUGAGACUGCCAGCGUAAGCUGUGAGGAAGGUGGGGAUGACGUCAAAUCAGCACGGCCCUUACAUCCGGGGCGACACACGUGUUACAAUGGCAUGGACAAAGGGCAGCUACCUGGUGACAGGAUGCUAAUCUCCAAACCAUGUCUCAGUUCGGAUCGGAGUCUGCAACUCGACUCCGUGAAGCUGGAUUCGCUAGUAAUCGCGCAUCAGCCAUGGCGCGGUGAAUACGUUCCUGGGCCUUGUACACACCGCCCGUCAAGCCAUGGGAGCCGGGGGUACCUGAAGUCCGUAACCGCAAGGAUCGGCCUAGGGUAAAACUGGUGACUGGGGCUAAGUC
rnacentral:rRNA from 1 species